rnacentral:rRNA from 1 species
CCUACGGGAGACAGCAGUGAGGAAUAUUGGUCAAUGGGCGCGAGCCUGAACCAGCCAAGUAGCGUGAAGGAUGACUGCCCUAUGGGUUGUAAACUUCUUUUAUAUGGGAGUAAAAUGCUCCACGUGUAGUGUUUUGCAUGUACCCUAUGAAUAAGGAUCGGCUAACUCCGUGCCAGCAGCCGCGGUAAUACGGAGGAUCCGAGCGUUAUCCGGAUUUAUUGGGUUUAAAGGGAGCGUAGGCGGGUUGUUAAGUCAGUUGUGAAAGUUUGCGGCUCAACCGUAAAAUUGCAGUUGAAACUGGUAUUCUUGAGUACAGUAGAGGUAGGCGGAAUUCGUGGUGUAGCGGUGAAAUGCUUAGAUAUCACGAAGAACUCCGAUUGCGAAGGCAGCCUACUGGACUGCAACUGACGCUGAUGCUCGAAAGUGUGGGUAUCAAACAGGAUUAGAUACCCGGGUAGUC